rnacentral:rRNA from 1 species
UACGUAGGGUGCGAGCGUUGCCCGGAUUUAUUGGGCGUAAAGAGCGUGUAGGCGGCCAUACAGGUCAGCUGUGAAAACUCGAGGCUCAACCUCGAGACGUCGGUUGAAACCGUAUGGCUAGAGUCCGGAAGAGGAGAGUGGAAUUCCCGGUGUAGCGGUGAAAUGCGCAGAUAUCGGGAAGAACACCUAUGGCGAAGGCAGCUCUCUGGGACGGUACUGACGCUGAGGAGCGAAAGCGUGGGGAGCGAACAGG